UGAGACCUACCUUUAGUUGACUCAGCUCCCAGUAAUUCUCUGUUAAAGUGAAAAAGCUCAUGUAAGAAAGAACCUCAUUGGACCAACUUAGGCUGGGGGUCUGAUAAUGCUGCAAACAGUGGUGAGGAGAGCAGGAUUGUAAAACACACACAUGGCUACUGAGGGACCUUCGUGGAGUAGGGAGAAGUGCAAAGGAAGAGAAAAGCCUGAGUUGGACAGACACCCCCCAAAUAUGUGAAUUACAAUGGUAAAAUAAGGAAGGUUCUUGUUUUCUACAGAUGCUGAUCCCAACUGAGAGAAACAAAUGCUAGUAGAGUGAAAGUUUCAGAAUGGUGUAGAAUUUACAUUUAUAGAACUAAAUGAUUUGGAACAAUAUGGCAGAGUUUGGACCAUGACUGCCCAGCUUCGUUUUCAUUACUGUUUUCUUUCUCAGGUUGUUGUUUCUCUCUUCCCUGGUCAGGCUACCAACGACUCCACAUGUGGCCAAAUGGAUCAGAAUUAUUUUCAUGACCAAGUGACACCAUGGGUUCAGAAGAGGAAGUGAUCUUGACUCUAGGAUGAACUCCAAACACCAUAGCAUGGUCCCUGAGCCUUUGAUAGUCUGACUUUCUUCCAGUUUUUCAGCCCCGUCUCAGGUCACACUAUUCCCUCGACAUGUAGGGUAGGCAAAUUCCCAGUCACACAUAGCACUUCUUGUAGUUCCUUGAACAUGUAGCAUGUUCUCUAUGCUGCUUCCCCUUUGCUUAUGUCAUUUUCCUUGACCUGGAAUGCAACACCUCCUCUCUAUCUGGAUACUGGCCCUUUAGAGUACUUAGCAGGCUUCAAAUAUCACCUCCUCUGGGAAGGCCUCUCUGUCCCAGCAUCAACCAAGUGCUUGGCUCAUAGUGGUCUCUCUCCAGUCCCUAGAACUUGUGCUUCCAAAGAUGAGGAAUAUAUAUUUUUUUCACUUUUGUCUUCUGCCGUAUCUAGAAAUGCCAUUUGAAAGAAUGAAGGCGGUAGAGUAAGUGGGAAUACAAACUUGAGGCCUCCAGCAUGCCUCUUCCUUUUCGCUGCUUCCCAGAGCAUUGUGGCUCUCACCCAGACCUUCCCCUUGCAGCCUAUAGGUGGCAAUGAGAGUUUUCUCUCUCAAGCUUUUCUUUUCUUCAGGUCUGAUGGUAAUGACAGAUCAUUCAGAAGCAUGCUGUGUUUGGAAUGAAACCAACACAGCAACAGUGUUAUAUACACUUCAGUCCCUAUCAAUCUUGACAGGAUUUUUAUAUGGGGAUUUUAUGACGAAAGGCUUCAUAUCCCAUCACACCUUCCGUGAGCCAUCCGCUCCCAGGGGAAUAUUUGUCUACAAUUGCAAAAAAAAAAAAGCCAAGAAAAUCUGCAAUAUAUCGCUGUUUCCCAAGUAAGAAAUAUACUUUCCCUCCGAGAAGUCCAUCAGUUAAUAUUAACAAGGAGAAAGAGAAAGAAUAACCUGGCAGGAAGCUCUGAAUUUCCCCCAGACUCGAGUCAAGAGAUCAUCAAGGAAGGAGUCUAGCUGUAAAGUACACCUCUCUUCCUCCGAUGGGAGUGACAACCAGGGUGACUGGAAUCAGAGGGCAGCCUGCUCUCCUUUGGCAAACAAACACCCACUCUGAUGGUCUCAUUGAUUGAUUGAUUGAUGCAUCCACUCCUUUAGCAAAGUCUACAGUUGCACACAAGCAAGAUCAUAGGAUCGGAAGUCAAAAGAUGCAUGUUGGGCCCAUCAAGACAUGAUUUUUUGAAGUCAAGUCAUCCUGGGAAAUCCUUUACAGUUUUCUUGGCUUUAGCUUUCGUAGCUUAUAUGGAAGAUAGUAAUAGUAAUUGUCGCAAAAAAUAUCAUUUGUAAAAGCAUUUUGUAUACCAGAAAACAUUAUGCAAAGACUUUUUGUUCUCAAAGGCUAGGACUAUGACUAGAAUAUUGUAUAAGUGAAUAAGCAUAUUUUAAGCAUCUAUCUAUGUCCAGAAAUUUGUGGGGAGUUUUGUAGAUAAAAAGACUAAUCUGACAGAGAUUCUGUACUCAAGAAGGUUAAAGCCUAUGAGAAGAAAAUAAUUCAGUCACAGAGAAGGCACAAAUUUAGUCUUAGAAUUUUCUUAAAAUUUUAUAUAAAGUAAUAUAUUUGCCAGACAAAGCCAUCAACAUUGUGAUUCUCUGUGAGCUUCAGCCUGACUUUGUGAUAACCCAUGUUUAAAGAUAAUAUUGGUUAUUUUAAGAUAUACUCCUAUAAACAUAAUAAAUUAUUCACUUUUAUUUAACAAGCAAUGUUCAGCUUGUUAAGUAAUUUCCUAAAUUCAUGGCAGUUUGGAAACUUAAUGAGGUACACUGACUCUAGGCUACUUUUCUCUGUAUUUUUAGAAACCAAAAGAACUUUCAAUAAUAAUUGGAAAUAUUCAUCUUUUCUUGUUAAGAACAAGUAUUUGGUUGUUCAAGCAAAAUUUUCAAAUGUAGGCUUGUCAAAAAAGGGUACUUAAACGUUGACUAUUCUAUUUCGGUUAUGUGAUUUAAGAAAGUAACCUUUUAAAGUUCAGUUUCCUCAUGUGUAAAAUGGGAUAACAAUUCCCCAUUUUGAAGGUGAAACAUAAAAAUAUGUGUGGAACACCUGUAUUAAUUAGAUGCGGGUUAGGUUUUGGUAAUAAAGACAC